GAAAUGCGAUAAGUAAUGUGAAUUGCAGAAUUCAGUGAAUCAUCGAAUCUUUGAACGCACAUUGCGCCCGCCAGUAUUCUGGCGGGCAUGCCUGUCCGAGCGUCAUUUCAACCAUCAAGCCCCCGGGCUUGUGUUGGGGACCUGCGGCUGCCCGCAGGCCCUGAAAACCAGUGGCGGGCUCGCUGUCACACCGAGCGUAGUAGCAAUCACCUCGCUCAGGGCGUGCUGCGGGUUCCGGCCGUUAAACAGCCUUACAAAACCCAAGGUUGACCUCGGAACAGGUAGGAAGACCCGCUGAACUUAAGC
rnacentral:misc_RNA from 1 species